GCUGCUUGUAUUAUGUCAAUUUUGUCCCC
rnacentral:piRNA from 1 species